ACAAAACUCCCCUCAAAACAUCUACUCGACAGAGCUCCUUCAUCUGGUGAGAUAGUCUCAACAACAUCGAGUCAUGAAUAUUGCAAUGAGCACGCUGUGCCUGAUGCUGUUCAUCGUUCACGCACAAGCACAGGAUUCAGACAAGCCUCCGCAAAAAGAAAGAAUUGAUCCGAGUACUAUUUUCGAAUUCAUCAAGCUAUGUGUGGGAUUGUUUUCUCAUAAGGCAAAAGAGUUUACCUGCCAAGUGGGAAUGGAUGAUACGUUGAGUACAGUACGUUGUCUCCCUGAACAAAAAUCCUGUGUCACUGCAAACGUAACUGUUGGGGUUUACACAUUCAUUUACAAGAGCUGUGCUUCGGACCUGGAUUGUGUCUUUAAAGAACGCAUUCGAAAAAUGGUACUCAACGAUGUAGUAGAUGCGUUUGAGGAUUCUCGUGGGUGCAUCCUAAAUAGCUAUGACUGCAACAGCGCCCCACAUGGUGGUCCACCUCGUUCCCUGGCUCUGCUUAUCCCCCCCAUUCUAUCCCUCCUUGUAUUUUCCAGCUAAUUUUCUCGCAGGGCUAGGUACGCACAAUAACCCUACCGUUGCUGUUAAGUGUGGGACCAAUCUAUAAAAAGUACAGUUGCUCUUAAAAUUUUCACAAGGGAUACUCAUCUUAUGUACCUCAUAAGGAUAAUAUAAUGCGUCAACCUGCCAACUAGGAUAUUAACGCAAGAUCUCGGAAUUGCUCAUCUGGAUCUCCACCACACCAUCUCCCGACUUUCAAAUAGGAGUAAUACUUUUAAAUGGUAUCAAUUAUGCACGAGGCAAAACAAUCUGCUCUGUGCAAUGCAAUACAUGGUUAAAGCAAUAACGUGACAACAAUGUGCAAUCGGGUUAGAGUAUUCAGUUCACAGCUUAAAGCUUGUAAUUUCAAAUAGCAGUCGGGGGAACGGCAUAUUCCAUUAUCCCUCCUGAAUUAGUCAAAUUCAUACUACUCUGUGGGAGGUCAACAAUGGUUGUCUUGUGGGUAUAACUGUCCCUGACAUGGCAACGCAGAAUAUAUAUGUAUGCCUUAGGGCAGCAAUUGGAAAACUUGGAUUCAGAAUCGAGCAGACUGGAUGGGCUUAAACCACAACGAACCAUGAGGCUGGGGACUAUUGUGCAGUGCAGGGAGCUACCAAUUACAUAUACUGUGCUGUACAGCGUUCUGAAACCUCUUUCGUGUUAUGGUGCGCUUGAUAUUUUUUCAAAUUAACAAAUUAAUGGAUACGGUGCCCCAGCGAUCUCGUGGUUAAACCGGCCAUGGUUCAUGCAGUGAUUUUUUGUGAUUUGCUUACCUUUCCUAUACUUUGCACUGCUAUUGUGUUUUCGUAUUGUUGUAACUUUAUGAUCUGCCCCUACUGGACACACGUGAAAAGAGCUAUAUAGGUAAUCGGAUUCCUCCAGGUUAAAUAAGGAUUCUGAUUGCAGCCUAAGAUAUUGGUUGAAUUCGCUGGCAAAGAAAAAGAGUUUAAAAUUUAUUUUUGUUUGUAAUUAACAUCCAUCAAUGAAUGUGUACGUUAAUGUUACGUUAUUGCAAUCACAAUGAGUACUUUAAUCGGUGUUUAUACUAAUCAAAUUUGCUUUUAAUUGUAAACCCCCCCCCCCCCCCCCAUGAACUUAUGACCAUGAUAAGCACUGAACAAUAGUGCCACACGUUCCUUUCCCCCUCUACUACAGCGCCUCUCUACUGAGGAAUGCUUUUGUUUUUACUUAAUAGGAAUAUAAUUUAAAGCUCAUAGUAAGAAUGGAUUGGUGUAGAAUGGUAGUGCAAUAGUUCACACACUGCAUGAUGAACCUAGAGACCUGGGUCUGAUUCCCGUCCACGACUGCAAGGCAUCUUUAGUGAGCAGUGGAUUUAUAAAGGAACGUUCAACAAUUGAAUCAUGAAAAAACAUGUAAACGAUCUAUACUUUCAUCAAUUUGUAAUGCGCUUGAACAAAUGUAGUUCAUGCUGGAGUAUAUUAAAUCUAAAAUUGCUUCCACUUCCUGAGUGGAAGGAUAAAGCCCUCUCCAGUUCGCCCGCUCUGCUCUUCAACGCCAGUGGUUGUUGCCACUCCCAUUGUGCAGCUUCCUUGAACCAGCGAUAAGCCCAUUCAUGAACUAUGACACAGCGUUUUUUUCUAUGUUAAAGUGUGUAACAAGGUGUGGUUUUUUUUAUAUUAUCGCAGAUUUGGAAAACUAUGUUAAGAAAUUUACGUAAUUUAAUCGUUGGGGAGAAUAAUGUUGGUUAUGGACAUGUGAUAUUGCUGGAAAAUAUACAAUAAAUGUUGCCUUUCAAUAUUGUGUGUAAACACUGUUCAUGUAGCUUGUAAAUCACCUUCAACCUUUAAUUUAAAGCAAAUAUCGAAAUACUAAAGAAACAUUGGAAGCAGCCGCGGUUCGUACACUGGAGGUGUUAGGGCGCUGCCCCACCAAG